AAUCAACGCUGGCGGCGUGCCUCAGACAUGCAAGUCGAACGAUUAAGACUCCCUUCGGGGAGUGCAUAAAGUGGCGCACGGGUGAGUAACACGUAAGUAAUCUACCCUCGAGUGGGGAAUAACGUUCGGAAACGAACGCUAAUACCGCAUAAUGCAGCGGCACCGCAAGGUGACAGUUGUUAAAGGAGCAAUCCGCUUGAGGAGGAGCUUGCGGCAGAUUAGCUAGUUGGUAAGGUAACGGCUUACCAAGGCUACGAUCUGUAUCCGGCCUGAGAGGGCGGUCGGACACACUGACACUGAAUAACGGGUCAGACUCCUACGGAGGGCAGCAGUCGGGAAUUCUGGGCAAUGGGCGAAAGCCUGACCCAGCAACGCCGCGUGAAGGAUGAAGUAUUUCGGUAUGUAAACUUCGAAAGAAUAGGAAGAAUAAAUGACGGUACUAUUUAUAAGCUCCGGCUAACUACGUGCCAGCAGCCGCCGCCGUAA
rnacentral:rRNA from 1 species